rnacentral:rRNA from 1 species
UACGUAGGGUGCACGCGUUAAUCGUAAUUACUGGGCGGAAAGCGUGCGCAGGCGGUUUUGUAAGUCUGACGUGAAAUCCCCGGGCUCAACCUGGGAAUUGCGUUGGAGACUGCAAGGCUAGAAUCUGGCAGAGGGGGGUAGAAUUCCACGUGUAGCAGUGAAAUGCGUAGAGAUGUGGAGGAACACCGAUGGCGAAGGCAGCCCCCUGGGUCAAGAUUGACGCUCAUGCACGAAAGCGUGGGGAGCAAACAGG